ACAGUGUAUGAGAGAUGGAGAAUGGGAAAGAUAGUUUCCCUUCUCCAUAGGUUUUUUUUUUUCCUCAAAUAGGUCUUAUUUACUUCUAGGAAGAUUGGGUAACUUAGGAUGCUCAUACCAAGUUGGAACAAAAUCAGUUAUUCCUACUGACCAGGAACUGUAUCCAGAAAGAGAGAGAGGCACUGUACCUACAUGGAGUGAAAAGCACAGUCACCCAGAGAUUAGACUCCAGAGAUAAUGAUAUUAGGAAAUCCAAACU
rnacentral:lncRNA from 1 species